ensembl:ncRNA F33H1.9 ncRNA
AAUUACCUGUACGGAGCGAUGAAGAUAAAUGCAACCAGUGGGCUCGAUGACGGAAUGCAAUCCAUCAAACGGAAUGUUAUGUUCUCAGG